rnacentral:ncRNA from 1 species
UNAAAGGUUUGGUCCUGGCCUUUUUAUUAGCCCCUAGCAGAUUUACACAUGCAAACAUCCCUACCCCGGUGAAAAUGCCCUCCAUGUCUCANNUUGACCUAAAGGAGCAGGUAUCAAGCUCACUGAUNGUAGUUGCUCAUGACGCCUUGCCUAGCCACACCCCUACGGGAUACAGCAGUGAUUAAAAUUAGGNCUAUGAACGAAAGUUCGACCAAGUUAUGCUANGUAUGAAGAGUUGGUUAAUCUCGUGCCAGCCACCGCGGUCAUACGAUUAACUCUAGUUAAUNAAAGAACGGCGUAAAGCGUGAUAAAGANGUGAAUAAACUAAUAAAACUAAACUUAAACUAAGCCGUAAAAAGCCCUAGUUACAGUNAAAAUAACCNUAACGAAAGUAGUUUUAAGACAUCUGAUUUCACGAUAGCUAAGGCCCAAACUGGGAUUAGAUACCCCAUUAUGCUUAGCCCUAAACAUAGAUAUUCAAAUAACAAGACUAUUCGCCAGAGAACUACUAGCCACCGCUUAAAACUCAAAGGACUUGGCGGUGCUUUACAUCCCCCUAGAGGAGCCUGUUCUAUAAUCGAUAAUCCCCGAUAUACCCUACCACCUUUUGCNAUCAUCAGCCUAUAUACCGCCAUCUUCAGCAAACCCUAACAAGGAUGAGAAGUAAGCACAAAGAUUNAAACGUAAAGACGUUAGGUCAAGGUGUAGCCCAUAAGGUGGAAAGUAAUGGGCUACAUUUUCUAUACUNNUAGAAUAGAUNACCCACGAUAGCUUUCAUGAAACUUAAAGCUCAAGGCGGAUUUAGAAGUAAGCUAGGAAUAGAGAGCCUAACUGAACUGGGCAAUAAAGCACGCACACACCGCCCGUCACCCUCUUCAAAUUCCUCACACAAACACCCAUUACAUAANAACCUGUUUAUAAGAGCAUGAGAAGAGAUAAGUCGUAACAAGGUAAGCAUACUGGAAAGUGUGCUUGGAGUAAU